rnacentral:misc_RNA from 1 species
ACACAUCGUAGAAUUUAAAAUCGAUCGUCGAUCGCGUGUUUAAAUCCAAAUAAAUGGUUUUAUACGCAAUUUUUGUGACAAUAUUAAUGGCUCUUUAAACUUUAAAUAGUCUAGUACUCUGUUGUUGUCCCUCUAAUGUGCCGUAUAGUAUUUAUAAGAGAUAUCUUCUCUUAUCAGUCAUGGCCUACGAUUACCUCAUAAAGUUGCUUUGCGUAGGAGAUUCAGGUGUCGGAAAGACCAGCUUCCUUUACAAAUACACUGACGGAGUAUUUCAUACACAAUUUAUAUCGACUGUUGGUAUAGAUUUCAGAGAAAAAACUGUGAUAUACCAGCAAAAUGGAAGACAACACCGAAUUCAUUUGCAACUGUGGGAUACAGCAGGUCAAGAGCGGUUUAGAAGUCUGACAACAGCAUUUUACAGAGAUGCAAUGGGUUUCCUGCUUCUAUUUGACUUGACUAAUGAAGCAUCAUUUCUUGAAGUCAGAAAUUGGAUAGAGCAGUUAAAGACUCACAGUAUAAGUGACGACCCAGAUGUAGUGCUGUGUGGUCACAAGUGUGACUUGCAAGAGAAGAGAUUGGUCAACCAGAACAGGGCCAGGGAGUUUGCGAAGAAUUACAAUUUGUCAUACCUUGAAACAAGUGCUAAAACCGGACAAAACAUUGACCGUGCUAUUGAGAUCCUUCUUGACAAGGUUAUGUACAGAAUGGAGACUUCAGUGGAAUAUGCUAUGCUGUGCGCAUCAGGGCGCCGCCGUGAAUCCCUGCAAAGAUUACAAGCUAAAAGAGAGAGAAAUGUGUGUUCCUGUUAAUAUUAAUUUGUUCUACAAAUAUCUGCAGUUCUGUAGAACAGACGAAAGAAACAUACAAAGAAAACAGACGGUACAGGGUUGGUGAAGCGGUUGUUGACCGCACAACCUUACAUGGAAAUUAUAGCUCUACAAUUUUCGCGCUUCCGCAAUACACAACCCACAUGAUGGAAGAUGAUGUAAUUGUAGGAGUGGU